UUUUCUGCAGGAAGCACAGGGCUGAAACACACUGCUGGGACUGAUGUGUGCUGGGGAACAGGCAGUCCCUGAGGGAGCCCUCUCUGCUACCGGGGCUAACCACUGUGCAGUGCUCCCACGUUAUUAGAUGGAUGCAGGUGUUCCUCAGCAUUGACUGUGCUUGGCAGACGUCCCACCAGCAGGGAGCAAACAGGAAGAAACCUCUUUUCAUCAGCAGAGCCCUUCCCCAACAUCCCCCUGGGAUCUGUUCUAUUACUAAGCCCUUGGGAGCUUGGAAAUACCCUUUGGGCGUAAAAAUAGUGCCUGCAAAGCCAGCAGUCAGCUCCUUCUCUUGGACAAGCUGUGUGCUGUGUUGGUUUCUUUUUCUCAAUUUCCUGUUCCGAACUCUGUUCAAGGAAGCAGCGACUCUCCCUGGCCAUCCACCUGAGAGAAGAAAUUGCAAACGUGGAUUUCCUGGUAAACUGAGCUCCAGUCUGCGCUGCAGAAAUGGUCCCAGGGCGCUCGCUGGGGGAGGCCAGAAGUCAUCGCUCAUCUGCAUGGGGUGGACAUCAGCAGCAGUUCCCAAAGCAGAACCUCUGUGCGUUUCCAGCCCAAACUCUGGCCUUCAGCAGUGCUCCUCAUACCCUCCCUGAUUCAAUAAAUCAGCAUUUUCCAAAAACAAACAAACAAAAAAAGAAAACCAACCCAACAAAUAGCUAUUUCUAUAGAAAAUUCUCAGUUGUCUCAACCGCUAACAGCCCAUACAAAUUGAAAACCCUGAGGACAUCUUCCUCUGCUAUGUUCCUGGCAUCACUUUCCAUGCAGUGUGCAAAUUGUUGUUUGCCCAGCUCUGCCUCCAGCGGAUGAGGAGAGAUUCUGGCUCCUGCAGCAGUGGAGAACAAUAGCAGAGUGUGUCCACUUCUGCUACUUCGGAAUUGUUCAACCAGAACGUAGUGAAGAGAGAAUUGGUUUUCUUUGGCUGUGCAGUGUAAGUUAUUGGUGAAUAAACAAGCCCAGGGGCCAAAGGAUGAAGUAUUCAUUGAUUUUUGCAGUGUUUAUUUCUGAGUUAAUUUUCAACCCAAAUAAAGAGAGAAAGAAAUCACUGUAAAUACAAAACGUGCUUUAUUUUGUCUGUAUUAUGAAAAGAGCUUCAAUAAAAAGAUGAUUGCGUCCUU
rnacentral:lncRNA from 1 species